UAAGAUAGAGGCGCGGAAAGCAAAAGUAACUUGUGGAGCGGGAGCUUAGAAGCAAGCGAAAGGGCUAACGCCGAAGUGCAACAGCAGCCGUGCUAUUGUGCUGGGCCGUCAGCGAAAGCUGCCGGACUGUCGCUGAAAAAUCAGCGGAGGGCUAUCU
rnacentral:ncRNA from 1 species